rnacentral:rRNA from 1 species
UACGUAGGUGGCAAGCGUUAUCCGGAUUUAUUGGGUUUAAAGGGUGCGUAGGCGGCUUAAUAAGUCGGUGGUAAAAGGUAGCAGCUUAACUGUUUUACAAGCCAUCGAUACUGUUUAGCUUGAGUUAUUUGGAGGCAGCUAGAAUUUCCGGUGUAGCGGUGAAAUGCAUAGAUACCGGAAGGAAUACCGAUUGCGAAGGCAGGUUGCUACGAAUAUACUGACGCUGAUGCACGAAAGCGUGGGGAUCAAACAGG